rnacentral:rRNA from 1 species
GAACUUAAGCAUAUCAAUAAGCGGAGGAAAAGAAACCAACAGGGAUUGCCUCAGUAACGGCGAGUGAAGCGGCAACAGCUCAAAUUUGAAAUCUGGCUCUUUCAGGGUCCGAGUUGUAAUUUGUAGAAGAUGCUUUGGGUGUAGCUCCGGUCUAAGUUCCUUGGAACAGGACGUCAUAGAGGGUGAGAAUCCCGUAUGUGACUGGGUGCUUUCGCUCGUGUAAAGCUCUUUCGACGAGUCGAGUUGUUUGGGAAUGCAGCUCAAAAUGGGUGGUAAAUUUCAUCUAAAGCUAAAUAUUGGCCAGAGACCGAUAGCGCACAAGUAGAGUGAUCGAAAGAUGAAAAGCACUUUGGAAAGAGAGUUAAACAGUACGUGAAAUUGUUGAAAGGGAAGCGCUUGCAACCAGACUUGCGCGCUGUUGAUCAUCCGAGCUUUUGCCCGGUGCACUCGGCAGCGUUCAGGCCAGCAUCGGUUUUGGUGGGCGGAUAAAGGCCUUGGGAAUGUAGCUUCUUUCGGGGAGUGUUAUAGCCCUCGGUGCAAUGCGCCCUACCGGGACCGAGGACCGCGCUUCGGCUAGGAUGCUGGCGUAAUGGUUGUAAGCGACCCGUCUUGAAACACGGACCAAGGAGUCUAACAUCUAUGCGAGUGUUUGGGUGUCAAACCCAUACGCGUAAUGAAAGUGAACGGAGGUGAGAACCCUUAAGGGUGCAUCAUCGACCGAUCCUGAUGUCUUCGGAUGGAUUUGAGUAAGAGCAUAGCCGUUGGGACCCGAAA